rnacentral:rRNA from 1 species
AUUGAACGCUGGCGGCCGGCCUAACACAUGCAAGUCGAGCGAGCGGCCGACGGGUGAGUAAUGUCUGGGAAACUGCCUGAUGGAGGGGGAUAACUACUGGAAACGGUAGCUAAUACCGCAUACCAUCAGAUGUGCCCAGAUGGGAUUAGCUAGUAGGUGGGGUAACGGCUCACCUAGGCGACGAUCCCUAGCUGAUCUGAGAGGAUGACCAGCGACAUUGGAACUGAGACAGGGGUCAGACUCCAACGUGAGGCAGCAGUAGGGAAUAUUGCACAAUGGGCGCAAGCCUGAUGCAGCCAUGCCGCGUGAGUGAAGAAGGCCUUCAGGUUGUAACGCACUUUCAGCGGGGAGGCGGUGCACGCAGAAGAAGCACCGGCUAACUCCGUGCCAGCAGCCGCGGUAAUAC